GACGAACGCUGGCGGCGUGCCUAAUACAUGCAAGUAGAACGCACAGUUUAUACCGUAGCUUGCUACACCAUAAACUGUGAGUUGCGAACGGGUGAGUAACGCGUAGGUAACCUGCCUGGUAGCGGGGGAUAACUAUUGGAAACGAUAGCUAAUACCGCAUAAUAUUAAUUAUUGCAUGAUAAUUGAUUGAAAGAUGCAAUUGCAUCACUACCAGAUGGACCUGCGUUGUAUUAGCUAGUAGGUGAGGUAACGGCUCACCUAGGCGACGAUACAUAGCCGACCUGAGAGGGUGAUCGGCCACACUGGGACUGAGACACGGCCCAGACUCCUACGGGAGGCAGCAGUAGGGAAUCUUCGGCAAUGGACGAAAGUCUGACCGAGCAACGCCGCGUGAGUGAAGAAGGUUUUCGGAUCGUAAAGCUCUGCUGUAAGAGAAGAACGGGUGUGAGAGUGGAAAGUUCACACUGUGACGGUAUCUUACCAGAAAGGGACGGCUAACUACGUG
rnacentral:rRNA from 1 species